GCCAUAGCUCAGUGGUAGAGCAUCUGCUUUUCAUGCAGAAGUCCCAGGUUCAUUCCUUGGAAUCUCCA